CCGACCUUAGCUCAGUUGGUAGAGCGGAGGACUGUAGUUGGAUGUGAAGUCCUGUUGUAAUCCUUAGGUCGCUGGUUCGAAUCCGGCAGGUCGGA
rnacentral:tRNA from 1 species